rnacentral:rRNA from 1 species
GUCGGUGAAGAUACCGGCUACCCGCGGCAGGACGAAAAGACCCCGUGAACCUUUACUACAGCUUGACAUUGGGUUUUGGUUCUAUAUGUGUAGGAUAGGUGGGAGGCUAUGAAGUUUCAGCGCUAGUUGGAAUGGAGCCAUCCUUGAAAUACCACCCUUAUAUUUCCGGAAUUCUAAUCCCGACCCUUGAAUCAGGGCGAGAAACAUUGUCAGGUGGGUAGUUUGACUGGGGCGGUCUCCUCCUAAAGAGUAACGGAGGAGCUCAAAGGUUCCCUCAGCACGGUCGGUAAUCGUGCAAAGAGUGCAAAGGCAUAAGGGAGCUUGACUGCAAGGCUGACGGGCCAAGCAGAUGCGAAAGCAGGACUUAGUGAUCCGGCGAUUCCGUAUGGAAGGGUCGUCGCUCAUCGGAUAAAAGGUACUCCGGGGAUAACAGGCUUAUCGCCUUCGAGAGCUCAUAUCGACGAGGCGGUUUGGCACCUCGAUGUCGGCUCAUCACAUCCUGGGGCUGGAGAAGGUCCCAAGGGUUGGGCUGUUCGCCCAUUAAAGUGGUACGUGAGCUGGGUUUAGAACGUCGUAAGACAGUUCGGUCUCUAUCCGCCGUGGGCGUAGGAAACUUGAGGGAUGCUGUUCCCAGUACGAGAGGACCGGAACGGACGAACCUCUGGUGCACCAGUUGUCUCAUCAGAGGCAUCGCUGGGUAGCUACGUUCGGUUGGGAUAAGCGCUGAAAGCAUAUAAGCGCGAAACCCUUCCCAAGAUAAGGUUUCCCUUCCCCUUCGGGGGAGUAAAGGCUUCCCGUAGACUACGGGAUUGAUAGGUCACAGGUGUAAGUUCGGUAACGAAUUCAGCCGAGUGAUACUAAUCAGCCGUCAGGCUUUUCCUC